rnacentral:lncRNA from 1 species
CUCAGGGCCCAUGGCAUGACAGAGCAUGUGGCAGGAUCCUAUCAAGAAGUCUCAAUUAAGAACAUAAUUCUAGAGGCUGACCCAUCUGGACUCUGGAGGAAGGAUCAUGUGCAGUCACUAUGUGCCCAGAACUGUGCAAUGCAAUCUCCACCCACCACGUCCCUCACUCUGAGCAAUGCCCCAUGGGACAGACACAGUGAAGCUUCGUGACCUUGGGGAACGUAGCUCACACAAAUGGCCAGGAAGCAAAGCUGGGGCUUGAGCUCAUGUCUCACUGCCAAGUUGUUAUGUUCCCCAUUCCCAGGCCUGCUGUGUCCCAACACCACAAGCCUGUGCCUCACCCCCCCAUGAACUGCCCACCCCUUCCUUUAAUCUGUCGUCACCACCUUCUCUCUAUCCUGCUGCCAUGUAAGACAUGCCUGGCUUUGCUGCCACAUAAGAUGUGCCUUGCUUCCAUUUCUGCCAUGAUUCUAAGUUUCCUAGGCCUCUCCAGC